rnacentral:rRNA from 1 species
GACGAACGCUGGCGGCGUGCCUAAUACAUGCAAGUAGAACGCUGAAGGAGGAGCUUGCUUCUCUGGAUGAGUUGCGAACGGGUGAGUAACGCGUAGGUAACCUGCCUGGUAGCGGGGGAUAACUAUUGGAAACGAUAGCUAAUACCGCAUAAUAGUAGAUGUCGCAUGACAUUUGCUUAAAAGGUGCAAUUGCAUCACUACCAGAUGGACCUGCGUUGUAUUAGCUAGUUGGUGAGGUAACGGCUCACCAAGGCAACGAUACAUAGCCGACCUGAGAGGAUGAUCGGCCACACUGGGACUGAGACACGGCCCAGACUCCUACGGGAGGCAGCAGUAGGGAAUCUUCGGCAAUAGACGGAAGUCUGACCGAGCAACGCCGCGUGAGUGAAGAAGGUUUUCGGAUCGUAAAGCUCUGUUGUAAGAGAAGAACGAGUGUGAGAGUGGAAAGUUCACACUGUGACGGUAUCUUACCAGAAAGGGACGGCUAACUACGUG